rnacentral:rRNA from 1 species
CCUACGGGAGGCAGCAGUCGAGAAUCAUUCACAAUGGGGGAAACCCUGAUGGUGCGACGCCGCGUGGGGGAAUGAAGGUCUUCGGAUUGUAAACCCCUGUCAUGUGGGAGCAAAUUAAAACGAUCGUACCACAAGAGGAAGAGACGGCUAACUCUGUGCCAGCAGCCGCGGUAAUACAGAGGUCUCAAGCGUUGUUCGGAAUCACUGGGCGUAAAGCGUGCGUAGGCUGUUUCGUGAGUCGUGUGUGAAAGGCGCGGGCUCAACCCGCGGACGGCACAUGAUACUGCGAGACUAGAGUAAGGGAGGGGGAACCGGAAUUCUCGGUGUAGCAGUGAAAUGCGUAGAUAUCGAGAGGAACACUCGUGGCGAAGGCGGGUUCCUGGACAUUAACUGACGCUGAGGCACGAAGGCCAGGGGAGCGAAAGGGAUUAGAUACCCCUGUAGUC